rnacentral:rRNA from 1 species
CCUACGGGAGGCAGCAGUGGGGAAUAUUGCACAAUGGGGGGAACCCUGAUGCAGCGACGCCGCGUGAAGGAUGAAGGAUUUCGGUAUGUAAAGCUCUAUCAGCAGGGAAGAAAAUGACGGUACCUGACUAAGAAGCCCCGUCGAACUACGGUCCAGCCGCCGCGGUAAUACGUAGGGGGCCAGCGUUAUCCGGAUUUACUGGGUGUAAAGGGAGCGUAGACGGCGGUGCAAGCCAGAUGUGAAAGCCCGGGGCUCAACCCCGGGACUGCAGUUGGAACUGGGCUGCUUGAGUGUCGGAGAGGCAGGCGGAAGUCCUAGUGUAGCGGUGAAAUGCGUAGAUAUUAGGAGGAACCCCAGUGGCGAAGGCGGCCUGCUGGACGAUGACUGACGUUGAGGCUCGAAAGCGUGGGGAGCAAACAGGAUUAGAUACCCGAGUAGUC